rnacentral:misc_RNA from 1 species
UCCGUGUUAACCACGGCAGUCUCUCUAGAGUGCCCAACUGAAUGCUGGCAACUAAAGACAAGGGUUGCGCUCGUUGCGGGACUUAACCCAACAUGUCACCACACGAGCUGACGACAGCCAUGCAGCACCUGUCUCUCUGCUGUAUUGCUACAGAAGCCGUAUUUCUACGGAUGUCAGAGGAUGUCAAAUCCAGGUAAGGUUCUUCGCGUUGCUUCGAAUUAAACCACAUGAUCCACCGCUUGUGCGGGCCCCCGUCAAUUCCUUUGAGUUUUAGUCUUGCGACCGUACUUCCCAGGCGGGGUACUUAUCGCGUUAGCUUCGGCUCAGCAGGGGUCAAGACCCGCUAAACCUAGUACCCAUCGUUUACAGCGUGGACUAC